rnacentral:rRNA from 1 species
GAUGAACGCUAGCGGUAGGCUUAAUACAUGCAAGUCGAGGGGCCGCGCGGGUAGCUUUCUCUGUCGGCGAUCGGCGCACGGGUGAGUAACGCGUAUGUAACCUGUCCGCAACAGGGGGAUAACCCGGCGAAAGUCGGACUAAUACCGCAUAAAAUAGGGGUCCCGCCUGGGAUUAUUAGUUAAAGAUUUAUCGGUUGCGGAUGGGCAUGCGUACCAUUAGGGAGUUGGUGAGGUAACAGCUCACCAAGUCUUCGAUGGUGAGGGGUUCUGAGAGUAAGGUCCCCCACACUUGAACUGAGACACAGACCAGACUCGUACGCGAGGCAACAGAGAGGAAUAUAAUGCGAUAGACGAGAGCCUGAACCAGCCAAGUCACGUGAAAGAUGACUGCCCUAUGGGUUGUAAACUUCUAUUACAAGAGAAUAAUGUAAGUUACGAGUAUUUUAUUGAAGGUACCUAAUGAGUAAGCAACGGCUAACUCCGUG